UAACGCGAAGAACCUUACCAAGGCUUGACAUACACCGGAAACGGCCAGAGAUGGUCGCCCCCUUGUGGUCGGUGUACAGGUGGUGCAUGGCUGUCGUCAGCUCGUGUCGUGAGAUGUUGGGUUAAGUCCCGCAACGAGCGCAACCCUUGUUCUGUGUUGCCAGCAUGCCCUUCGGGGUGAUGGGGACUCACAGGAGACUGCCGGGGUCAACUCGGAGGAAGGUGGGGACGACGUCAAGUCAUCAUGCCCCUUAUGUCUUGGGCUGCACACGUGCUACAAUGGCAGGUACAAUGAGCUGCGAAGCCGUGAGGCGGAGCGAAUCUCAAAAAGCCUGUCUCAGUUCGGAUUGGGGUCUGCAACUCGACCCCAUGAAGUCGGAGUUGCUAGUAAUCGCAGAUCAGCAUUGCUGCGGUGAAUACGUUCCCGGGUCUUGUACACACCGA
rnacentral:rRNA from 1 species